GACGAACGCUGGCGGCGUGCUUAACACAUGCAAGUCGAACGGAAAGGCCCUGCUUGCAGGGUGCUCGAGUGGCGAACGGGUGAGUAACACGUGGGUGAUCUGCCCCUUACUUUGGGAUAAGCCUGGGAAACUGGGUCUAAUACUGGAUAGGACCAUGCUGUAGGUGGUGUGGUGGAAAGAUUAGUUUCGGUAAGGGAUGAGCUCGCGGCCUAUCAGCUUGUUGGUGGGGUAAUGGCCUACCAAGGCGUCGACGGGUAGCCGGCCUGAGAGGGUGGACGGCCACAUUGGGACUGAGAUACGGCCCAGACUCCUACGGGAGGCAGCAGUGGGGAAUAUUGCACAAUGGGCGCAAGCCUGAUGCAGCGACGCCGCGUGGGGGAUGACAGCCUUCGGGUUGUAAACUCCUUUCAGCCAUGACGAAGCCCUUGUGGUGACGGUAGUGGUAGAAGAAGCACCGGCUAACUACGUG
rnacentral:rRNA from 1 species